UACGAAGGGUGCAAGCGUUACUCGGAAUUACUGGGCGUAAAGCGUGCGUAGGUGGUUUGUUAAGUCUGAUGUGAAAGCCCUGGGCUCAACCUGGGAAUUGCAUUGGAUACUGGCAGGCUAGAGUGCGGUAGAGGAUGGCGGAAUUCCCGGUGUAGCAGUGAAAUGCGUAGAUAUCUGGAGGAACACCGGUGGCGAAGGCGGCAUCCUGGACCGAGAUUGACGCUGAUGCGCGAAAGCCAGGGGAGCAGACGGG
rnacentral:rRNA from 1 species